rnacentral:rRNA from 1 species
UACAGAGACUGCAAGCGUUAUUCGGAUUCACUGGGCGUAAAGGGUGCGCAGGCGGCCAAGUGUGUGAGGCGUGAAAGCCCGGGGCUUAACCCCGGAAUUGCGCCUGAAACUACAUGGCUAGAGUACUGGAGAGGGUAGCGGAAUUCAUGGUGUAGCAGUGAAAUGCGUAGAUAUCAUGAGGAACACCAGAGGCGAAGGCGGCUACCUGGACAGUUACUGACGCUCAGGCACGAAAGCGUGGGGAGCAAAAGGG